rnacentral:rRNA from 1 species
CGUCCGCUCUUGGUUAGUCGGGUCCUAAGCUGAGGCCGACAGGCGUAGGCGAUGGAUAACAGGUUGAUAUUCCUGUACCACCUAGUAUCGUUUUAAUCGAUGGGGGGACGCAGUAGGAUAGGCGAAGCGUGCUGUUGGAGUGCACGUCCAAGCAGUAAGGCUGAGUGUUAGGCAAAUCCGGCACUCGUUAGGCUGAGCUGUGAUGGGGAGAGGAAAUUGUUUCCUUGAGUCGUUGAUUUCACACUGCCGAGAAAAGCCUCUAGAUAGAUAACAGGUGCCCGUACCGCAAACCGACACAGGUAGUCAAGAUGAGAAUUCUAAGGUGAGCGAGCGAACUCUCGUUAAGGAACUCGGCAAAAUGACCCCGUAACUUCGGGAGAAGGGGUGCUCUUUAGGGUUCACGCCCAGAAGAGCCGCAGUGAAUAGGCCCAAGCGACUGUUUAUCAAAAACACAGGUCUCUGCUAAACCGUAAGGUGAUGUAUAGGGGCUGACGCCUGCCCGGUGCUGGAAGUUUAAGAGGAGUGGUUAGCUUCUGCGAAGCCACGAAUCGAAGCCCCAGUAAACGGCGGCCGUAACUAUAACGGUCCUAAGGUAGCGAAAUUCCUUGUCGGGUAAGUUCCGACCCGCACGAAAGGCGUAACGAUUUGGGCACUGUCUCAACGAGAGACUCGGUGAAAUCAUAGUACCUGUGAAGAUGCAGGUUACCCGCGACAGGACGGAAAGACCCCGUGGAGCUUUACUGUAGCCUGAUAUUGAAAUUCGGCACAGCUUGUACAGGAUAGGUAGGAGCCAUUGAAACGUGAGCGCUAGCUUACGUGGAGGCGUUGGUGGGAUACUACCCUAGCUGUGUUGGCUUUCUAACCCGCACCACUUAUCGUGGUGGGAGACAGUGUCAGGCGGGCAGUUUGACUGGGGCGGUCGCCUCCUAAAAGGUAACGGAGGCGCUCAAAGGUUCCCUCAGAAUGGUUGGAAAUCAUUCACAGAGUGUAAAGGCAUAAGGGAGCUUGACUGCGAGACCUACAAGUCGAGCAGGGUCGAAAGACGGACUUAGUGAUCCGGUGGUUCCGCAUGGAAGGGCCAUCGCUCAACGGAUAAAAGCUACCCCGGGG